rnacentral:rRNA from 1 species
GACAGAGGGUGCAAACGUUGUUCGGAAUUACUGGGCGUAAAGAGCGUGUAGGCGGCCGUACAGGUCAGCUGUGAAAACUCGAGGCUCAACCUCGAGACGUCGGUUGAAACCGUACGGCUAGAGUCCGGAAGAGGAGAGUGGAAUUCCCGGUGUAGCGGUGAAAUGCGCAGAUAUCGGGAAGAACACCCGUGGCGAAGGCGGCUCUCUGGGACGGUACUGACGCUGAGACGCGAAAGCGUGGGGAGCGAACAGG